rnacentral:rRNA from 1 species
UACAGAGGUGGCAAGCGUUGUUCGGAAUUACUGGGCGUAAAGGGCGCGUAGGCGGCUUGGUCAGUCCCGUGUGAAAUCCCUCGGCUCAACUGAGGAACUGCACGGGAAACUGCCUGGCUUGAGUUCGGGAGAGGGAAGCGGAAUUCCGGGUGUAGCGGUGAAAUGCGUAGAUAUCUAGAGGAACGCCAAAGGUGAAGACAGGCGACUGGUUUGCAACUGACGCUCAUGGACGAAAGCGUGGGGAUCAAACGGG